rnacentral:rRNA from 1 species
AGACCCGAAACCCGGUGAUCUAGCCAUGGGCAGGUUGAAGGUUGGGUAACACUAACUGGAGGACCGAACCGACUAAUGUUGAAAAAUUAGCGGAUGACCUGUGGCUGGGGGUGAAAGGCCAAUCAAACCGGGAGAUAGCUGGUUCUCCCCGAAAGCUAUUUAGGUAGCGCCUCGUGAAUUCAUCUCCGGGGGUAGAGCACUGUUUCGGCUAGGGGGCCAUCCCGGCUUACCAACCCGAUGCAAACUGCGAAUACCGGAGAAUGUUAUCACGGGAGACACACGGCGGGUGCUAACGUCCGUCGUGAAGAGGGAAACAACCCAGACCGCCAGCUAAGGUCCCAAAGUCAUGGUUAAGUGGGAAACGAUGUGGGAAGGCCCAGACAGCCAGGAUGUUGGCUUAGAAGCAGCCAUCAUUUAAAGAAAGCGUAAUAGCUCACUGGUCGAGUCGGCCUGCGCGGAAGAUGUAACGGGGCUAAACCAUGCACCGAAGCUGCGGCAGCGAACGUAUCACUUAAAGCGAUUCAGCGGGUUACGAUUGACGGAGCGAAGCGACGUCAAAGCGUAUACAAAGUCGAGUCGGUUUAAGGAUACGUUCGUUGGGUAGGGGAGCGUUCUGUAAGCCUGUGAAGGUGUGUCGU